rnacentral:sRNA from 1 species
GAAUUGGUUGAGCUGGGAUUGGACUCCC